GGGAUUUUGGAUUUUGAAGUCUCUUAAAGCAGAUGGUACACUCUAAGACCUUCUCAUCAACAUGUUCCAGAAACUGAUUCAACUUACUGGUAGCCAUCUUGAAUUGAUAUCCUGUGAAAUUUAAAUAAUAGGGUCUGAUAGUCUUUAAGAGGAUCAUACAACAAGCAGAGUACUGCAGAGUAGAACAGAACAAGAGAUCUGAAAAUAUCCAGAG